GCAUUGGUGGUUGAGGGGUAGAAUUCUCACCUUCUAUGUAGGAGACCUGGGUUCGAGUCCCAGCCAACGCA
rnacentral:tRNA from 1 species